rnacentral:lncRNA from 1 species
AUGAUGGUAGGAGUGGAUGGGGGGAUGUCGUCUGACCCCACUGCCUCGACAUCGAACCCGUUUGUAACGAUUGAAGGUACAAACAUUGUUUUGGAGAAGCCGCCGACAAUUAAUCUCCAAUCAGAGGAAACACUGUCGGCCUGUGACUCCAGGGCGACUAUGGAGAGGGAAAUGGCAUUGGAUGAGCCAUCCACCUCAACCUCAACCUCCUCAAGGCCUUCUCGAGGGACAGACAAGGUUUUUAUUUAGGUUAUUCCUUUUGUAAGGUGCGCCACAAGGCUUUGACCAUGGUAACUGAAUUACGAUUGUAACCCAUAAUGCCUUUAGAUUGGAACAGACACUAUAAGGGCGCUGUACAAGCGCAACUUGGAGCUGGACAACGACAUCAAAGUCUUGGUGAAAAAAAAAUUGAAGAUC